AAUCCAGUAACAGAGUCUUCUAUCAAACUCAGCAAUUCCACAACCUUCAACAAGUUCCUCAUUAGAAGUCGCAUCUGCUAAUAAACAUCAAAUAAAAUAGUUGCAGGCAUCCCACCCAUCAUUCAAACUUUUUCCCUAUAAAAGGUUACACUUAGGAUUUAGCACCUAUAGACUGAAGCAAAUAACAUGAAGAAAUGACCUCAGAUCUUACAAG
rnacentral:lncRNA from 1 species